rnacentral:rRNA from 1 species
CAGUCGCCGCGGGAAUACAGAGGGUGCGAGCGUUAAUCGGAUUUACUGGGCGUAAAGCGUGCGUAGGCGGCUUCUUAAGUCGGAUGUGAAAUCCCUGAGCUUAACUUAGGAAUUGCAUUCGAUACUGGGAAGCUAGAGUAUGGGAGAGGAUGGUAGAAUUCCAGGUGUAGCGGUGAAAUGCGUAGAGAUCUGGAGGAAUACCGAUGGCGAAGGCAGCCAUCUGGCCUAAUACUGACGCUGAGGUACGAAAGCAUGGGGAGCAAACAGGAUUAGAUACCCCCGUAGUCCCUGUAUCUUAUAA